rnacentral:rRNA from 1 species
UACGUAGGGUGCGAGCGUUGUCCGGAAUUACUGGGCGUAAAGAGCUCGUAGGCGGUCUGUCGCGUCUGCUGUGAAAACUCAGGGCUUAACCCUGAGCUUGCAGUGGGUACGGGCAGACUAGAGUGCGGUAGGGGAGACUGGAAUUCCUGGUGUAGCGGUGAAAUGCGCAGAUAUCUGGAGGAAUACCGGUGGCGAAGGCGGCAUCCUGGACCCGACAAUUUGACGC